UGGGCCUUCGCCGAAAUGAAGACUUUCUCCAGCAUCGAGAACCUUACGAGGUUGAAGAAACUUGAGCUCAUCGGGCACUCCCUACCUGACAAGGUGAAAGAAGAUAUCGACAAACAUAGAGACGGAGAUAGGAUCCAUUAUACACACUACAAACCUCCCGGGGAGCCAGAAGUACUGAGCAGCAAGAAGCGCGGGAAAAGAGGAUAGCGUUACAGAUUGCCUACACACAUCAGGAAGGACAAGGGUUGGCGCGGGAGGGAGAACUCAAGGUUCAUCAUCGAGUCCCUCGCUCCCACGGUUUGUAUCCGUGUGUGUGCAUUUAUAUUCUGCUUGUGGCGUCGAUUGAGUGUGUGCCUGUGCAUUGGUGGGUAGCUUGUUCUACAUGCGUCUCCCUCUCUGCACAGUGGUAUUUGGACUUGUGUGUGGCUUUCCUCUGUAUUUGACUGCAUAACGGCUUGUCUCUCAUGUAACGCAACGAAUAAGUGCAAUGCUUGUUUGCACAUUUGAUUUGUUACUAUAUUGUAUACUGUAUGUACGUGGUACACCAAUAUACACUAUUGUUUGAAUGUUUGAUGCAUUGAGUUCUGCAGCAUCAAGUGUGUGGUUCAUGUCUCAUGCAUUCAGAAUGUCUCAAGUGGCGGAGCCAGCCCGCAAUCGAAGCCUGGGCACCAUUAUAAACUUCUAAUGUUUAUUUAAAGUCUCAAAUCAAUUAUAGGCUAAUAAUUUUAAGGGAAUAGUUGAAUAGAUAAUACUAACAUUUAAACAAAACAAUUAUUAAGUGCCUUGGAACCAUAAAUCCACAAAUCCUAGCUAUAAAAAAGUUCACAGAUUUCAAUCAUAAAUUCAUCAAUACUUCAACUAUCAAUUAAAUGGGAAUUCAAAUAUUCAAUCCUUGUAAUUAGACAUAUGUCUGUUUGUCUGAGUAGCCAUGAAUUUAGUUUGAACUAAACUUUAGAGCCCAUACUUACUGACCUUCAAUUUAUGAACCGGGCAAGGCAAAACAUUAGCAAAAAAAUAUUCAGGUAAACGCCUGGGGCCUGACCGCCUAGAAGCACCACAUUUAUUGUCCCAUCACCAACCUGAAUAAAUAAGAAAUUUAAGGUUGAGCUUAAUAUGCAUGUCCAAGAUCUAUAGUCCAAUAGACAUAGACAUAAAGCCAGCAAAAAACAAUGAAAGCCAAAACUUCAAGUCAAUUAUACAGCAUCAUCGCUUUACAAGAGGAACCCAGAACUAGAUGUAAACUCAAUUGUUAUGAUACAUAAAAAUUUGUUACUUGCAAAUAAAAACUGCAAGACUAAAGCAUAAAAUAAGAAGCUCUAAGACACCAUUGCAUUGAGCCAAAUGCCUGUCGAUAAUACUAGAGACAUCUUAGUCCAAACAAAAGAGGUCAGUGGAUUGGCUAGAAAUGGAUUAGGCCUACCAUUUCAUUCCCACUAUUCAAAUUGCAAUUCCUUGGCUUAUUCCUCAACUGCAGAGCCCACUCAUGACUAAACUCUGAAUUUAUAAGUCAUUCCACCAAAAUAGUGUGCCUAUCACAGCUUAACAAACUGAUCCUACUUUACUGAGAUUAAAUGUCACGAAAUGGUUUAGGAUUAAUAGAUAAGGGUUCUUAUGUUGUUAACUGUAUGCACACAGUAACAAUACCAUAGCCAUUAGCCAAAGUAAUGCAUCUAAUAGGUCGCAGAUUCGCAAUGAUGAAGAUUUCCACAGCUCCAAGUUGGCCGCCUGGGUGGUGUCGCUGCCCGAGUCCCGUGUGGGUGCGUCACGCGUGGCGGCGUGGGCGCGGCCGGUGCCCGAGUACCGGGAGGCACCGGCGAAGGGCCAACGACGGUGGUCGGGCGAGCCGCGAGCGGCAGAUAGGGGCGCGUAGGUAGAAGGGCCAGGGCGCCAGGGUCCUAGCGCGGGCGCGCGUGGUGGCCGUGAGAUCCUGGCGGGCGACCGGUGGCAGACGGCUUCGGUGCUCGGCGGGUCGCGCGGUGCGGCGGUGGGCUGGGCUCCUGGCAACGGCUUCAGACUUCAGAGUCAGGAUAGGGAUGUAAUCGAA
rnacentral:lncRNA from 1 species